UAAUCGGAAUGAGUACACUUUAAAUCCUUUAACAAGGAUCCAUUGGAGGGCAAGUCUGGUGCCAGCAGCCGCGGUAAUUCCAGCUCCAAUAGCGUAUAUUAAAGUUGUUGCGGUUAAAAAGCUCGUAGUUGGUUCUGCGUGCCGCGCUGUCGGUUCGCCGCCUGUCGGUGUAACUGGCAUGUCUCGGCAUGUCCUGUCGGUGGUAAACGGGAUUCACGGCAUAGCGUAGGCUUUUAUAGCUUACGUGUAUGGCGUUUGAAUACCGUGURCCGAUCUCUUCCUACUUCGGUGCUCUUAAACGAGUGUCGAGGUAGGCCGACACGUUCACUUUGAACAAAUUAGAGUGCUUAAAGCAGGCUGAAAUAUCUGCCUAAAUAGUGGUGCAUGGAAUGAUAAAAUAGGACCUCGGCUCUAUUUUGUUGGUUUUAGGAACGUGAGGUAAUGAUCAAUGUGGACUGGCGGGGGCAUUCGUAUUGCGACGUUAGAGGUGAAAUUCUUGGAUCGUCGCAAGACGCACUAAAGCGAAAGCAUUUGCCAAGUAUGUCUUAAUUGAUCAAGAACGAAAGUUAGAGGUUCGAAGGCGAUCAGAUACCGCCCUAGUUCUAACCAUAAACGAUGUCAGCCAGCGAUCCGCCGAUGUUCCAUUAAUGACUCGACGGGGAGCUUCCACCCGGGAAACCAAAGCUUUUGGGUUCCGGGGGAAGUAUGGUUGCAAAGCUGAAACUUAAAGGAAUUGACG
rnacentral:rRNA from 1 species